CUGGAUGACUAAAUGCACCCCUUACCUCUGUUGCUGUUACCUCCACUGAUAAAGACAGGUGAUUCUGGGUUGAGUUUUAUGGGUGGUCUAAAGGCAUGCGUCUUCACAAGCACUGGGGCUCUAAGACAAUGGAAAAUUGUAUGA
ensembl:lincRNA